UAAAAUUUUCACAUCAAUCAUUGCACAUGACAAUAAUAUUCCAUUCCACUCAUCAUCUGCUAAUUACAUUAUCAAAGGAAACAAACAAAACUCUGUAACAGAGGAGAGCGGCAAUGCAGAAUAUUGAGCUGAUAUUAUGUUGCCGGAGAUGGGGUUUCAAGGAAGAUAUGUGAGACUUGGCGAAGUUGAAGAUCUGAAAGUUGCAAGUAGGCCAAGAAGGUGUUGGCUAAUCAAGAAAAUGAAUGGAAGAUUGAAAGGUAUCAAGUUAUCCCGGUCUAGAAAGCUGAAUUGGAAGGCAUUUUCUAUGGUAAUAUUGCCAAGGAGGAUUGCUAGAAUAUAUGGGGAGAUAGUGAAAAGAAUGAAGAAUAUGGAAGAUGUAUGUCCUGCCAUUGUAUUUUCUUGUCAUUGGGGAUUUCCUGUCCUUUCUCAUUCCACUGUUAAAUCCCGAAGGAAUACCUUUUGAUAUUGGCUUUUACGCCGACUUUUAAUCAGAAGAGUUUUAUUGUUUAUCAAUA